rnacentral:rRNA from 1 species
CCUACGGGAGGCAGCAGUGGGGAAUCUUGCACAAUGGAGGAAACUCUGAUGCAGCGAUGCCGCGUGAGUGAAGAAGGCCUUGGGUUGUAAAGCUCUUGUAGGAGAAGAUAAUGACUGUACCAUAGAUAGUCGUUC